rnacentral:tRNA from 1 species
UGAGGUGUAGCUCAGUGGUAGAGUGCUUGCCUAUCAUAUGUGAAGCCCUGGGUUCUACCCUUAGUACUUCAA